GUGUCAGCCGCCGCGGUAAUACGGAGGGUGCAAGCGUUGUUCGGAAUCACUGGGCUUAAAGGGCGCGUAGGCGGUUGUGUAAGUCCAGGGUUGAAGGCCCCGGCUCAACCGGGGAAAGGCCUUGGAGACUGUAUGACUUGAGUGAGCGAGGGGAGGGCGGAAUUCCUGGUGUAGCGGUGAAAUGCGUAGAUAUCAGGAGGAAGGCCUGUGGCGAAGGCGGCCCUCUGGCGCUCAACUGACGCUGAGGCGCGAAAGCGUGGGUAGCAAACAGGAUUAGAUACCCUGGUAGUCCACGCCCUAAACGAUGUCUACUAGCCGUUGCGGGUAUCGACCCCUGCAGUGGCGCAGCUAACGCGAUAAGUAGACCGCCUGGGGAGUACGGCCGCAAGGUUAAAACUUAAAUGAAUUGGCGGGG
rnacentral:rRNA from 1 species